GGCUGGCCCCAGUACAGUGGUGUUUACAACGAAUUGAUCGCAACCAGUUACAGAUUCCUUUGUUCCUUCUCCCCUCCCGCUGCUUCGUUUGACUAGCCCAAA
ensembl:misc_RNA Y_RNA Y RNA